rnacentral:lncRNA from 10 species
GCCGUCCACCUGGUCUCCUGCCCAGCCUCCCCUUGGCUGCACCAGCUGAGAGCCAGAGGUCCUGGGGGUCCCUACAGUUCAGUAUCCAGGUACAAACUGGGAGGGGGCUUUGGGGUGGAGACAUCCAGCGUAGGGGUCAAAAAGAGAAAGGUCACAGCUUGGACUUUUGAUAAGUUGCCAAACUGCUCUGCAGGCGAGCUAUGCUCGUCCCCCUCUCCCCAGCAACACGAGAGCACCCUUACGGUGUAAACACUAGUUUGCAGUCUAAUGUUUUCAAACGCCAUCAUUGGCCGUCAUUGAGUGCCUUGGCAUUUCUCUAAUCAGUGGUGCCCGUGAGCUGUUUCUCUUGUGCUCUGUGCCAUUCUUUCCCGGAGCAUCGCGGCCCAUGUGCUCUCCACAGGACAUUCAUCUUCUCAUUGAUUUUCAAGAGUCCUUUAUAUACUGCAAGUAUUAACUCUUUUUUAAAAGAUCAUUUUUUAACUUUUCAUUUUGAAGUAAUUACAGGGUUUUAACAAGUUGCAAAAACAGUAGAAAAGUUCCUGUGGACUCUUCAUCCAACGUCCCCAAAAGUUAGCUUUGAGGCUGGGCGCGGUGGCUCACGGGCACUCAUCACAGCACUUUGGGAGACCGAGGUGGGUGGAUCAGCUGAGGUCGGGAGUUUGAGAUCAGGCUGGUCGACAUGGUGAAACCCCGUUUCUAUUAAAAACACAAAAAUUUCCCCAAGUGUGGUGGCAGGUGCCUGUAGUCCCAGCUACUUGGGAGGCUGAGACAGGAGAAUCACUUGAACCUAAGAGGCGGAGGCUGCAGUGAGCUGAGAUGGCGCCACUGCACUCCAGCCUGGGUGGCAGAGUGAAACUCCGUCUCAAAAAAAAAAAAAGUUAGCUUUGAGGAUAGUGAUCAAUUGUACAAUGAUCAGAGAAUGGCCACUGAUACAACAGGAUCACCCAGCAAACCCCUCAUGCACGCCCUGCUGACCAUCCCACUCACCCCUGCUGACCGUCCCGCUCACCCCUGCUGACCGUCCCACUCACCACCCUUUCCUAGUCCAGGGUCCCAUGUUGUGUUUAGUCCUCGUGGCCCCUUAGUCUCUCAAUCUGGGACGAAUCCUCAGUCUUUGUUUUUUCAUGACAUUGACACUUCUAAAGAAUAUUGUCAGUUAUUUUGUGGACUAUCCCUUAAUUUGGAUUCACUGUAGAUUUCCUCAUAAUUAAAUUCCACUUAUACAGCUGGGCACAGUGGCUCACAUCUGUAAUCCCAACACUUUGGGAGGCCAAGGUGGGAGGAUCACUUGAGGCCAGAAGUCAAGACUGGGUAAUAUAGCUACACCCCAUCUCUACAAAGUAAACAGUAAAACAAGAACAACAACAAAAAAACAAGCCAGAUGUGGUGGUGUGUGCCUGUAGUCCCAGCCACGGAAGGCUGUAGUGAGCUGUGAUCACACCACUGUACUCUAGCCUGGGCAACACAGUGAGACCCCAUCUCUAAAAAAAAAAAGGAAAGAAAAAAGAAAAAAAAUUAAACUGUACAAUUUUGUCAAGAAUACAGCAAAAGCAAUGCUGAUGGAGUUUCCUGGUGUCCGUGUGCCCGUUGCUGGCGAUGCUGACUUUGAUCUGGGGUUUGGUGGUGUCUGCUCCCGUUGACUUUGAUGACGGUUCCCACCAGGAUUCUGCGGCUGAGUUGGAAUUCUAUGAUUUGCCCAGUGGACUCCUCCCCGUGGGAUCCGAUGUCACGUGGGCGUGUCCUGCCUGUGUUGGCUGCGAGCGUUUCCUCCUGACUCACACCCAGUAGAGCUGCAGCCUCCACUGGGCGAGGCGGCCUUGGAAAAGGAGGCGGGUGCUGUCCUGCUGUGGAGGGGCUGGCGGGAGGUGGGUUCUGCAGGGUCAGUCCCGGGAGGUGCAGCUGUGGAGGGGCUGCUGACCCCCAGGAUCCCCGAGGCCGCCUGCUCCCGAGAGGCCGCCCCACACGCCAGCCUCAGCGUCGGGAGAGGAAGCCCCACAUGCCAGCCUCAGCACCAGGAGAGGCCGCCCCACACACCAGCCUCAGCGUCGGGAGAGGAAGCCCCACACGCCAGCCUCAGCGUCGGGAGAGGAAGCCCCACACGCCAGCCUCAGCGUCGGGAGAAGCAGCCCCACACGCCAGCCUCAGUGUCGGGAGAGGAAGCCCCCACACGCCAGCCUCAGCACUGGGAGAGGCAGCCCCACACACCAGCCUCAGCGUCAGGCUCUGAGUCCCGUUUCUGCCUCUGGGCUCCUCGUAUGUGUGUGUCAGCAUCAGAUGCAAAGAAAGGGGACGUAUCCUGGUGGGGGGACCCGGAGUCUCCGUUGCCCCCACAGAUCAGUCUCUGGGUGCCUCCCUUGGUGCUGAGAGCAGGGAGGGCCUGAGAGCCAUCCCGAGCCCGUCUCGGUUCACGCUUCCCUGCCUGGCAGGACCCAGGGAGAGCUGGGCGGGUGGGGCAGCCACUCCCGGCAGUUCCGAGAGGAUCUGGAGGAAACGUGCCUUACUGCAAGGAGAUGGCUGGCUAGCGGUGGAGCCCUGGGCGCCCUCAGGGGAGAGCCUUCCGGGGACAGCUGCCACCCUUCUGUGGUGCCGGCCUCCUUCCCGCCAUGCACCAUGCCCACGGCACCCAGAUGGUGGAGCCGCCGCCGGUUCACACUCUGGGGAGUUUUCCCAGCAACAGGUCCCUCCAGCCAGGGCAUGCAGGAAAGUGCCCUUACGACGUGCUCAGGGAUACAGCCACUGCUCCCAAACGUCUCUGCCCAGAAAGGCAGGUGGGAUGUUGACCAUAGACACAAUAACCAACGCUUGCUGUCGUGGGGCCUGUUUGACAGAGGGACAAUGGAGGCCAGAGAGGCAAAGGUGACUUGUCCAAAAUCACCCAGCCAGGGCCAUUAGCCACCUGCUCAGCACUGCAGCUUUUGUGCCAGGGACCUGCAGACACUCACUCACACUCAUGGAGCCAGGAGGACCAAUCCAUGAGCACAGGGCACCUCGGAGUCCCGGGCGGGCAUUCUCCGGCGUCCUUCUUCUGAAGCUUCUGAAAAGUUGCUGAGAAAGACAGAGAGGGUGACAAGAAGAGGACAGGUGUGAGACCCUGCAGAACUGGGUUCCACGUGCCAGCAGGACCCAGAGACCACGGCACUCCCUUCUCCCUACUAACUGGAGACUCCGAGAGGAGUUCUAGACAUGGCAAGACGAAACAAGUCCGUAUCCCUUCUUUCCCAGAAUCGAGAAAAAUGACCGCAUUUGUCAGCAGAGCAUGCACUAGGCGAGCCCUGCCUUGCUGUUUAAUUCAUCCCAAUGCUCCUUCCGAAGGGGCCCUCAGAGGAUGCUUCCAAAGCCUGGCAUAGGCGAAGCUCAGGACCCUGCACCAGGAGGUCCCACCCCGGAGCCCGGAUCACUCCGGGAAUCACAGCUUUCGGGAGGAGCACCUUGCUACCGAGCCUUUGGGGUCCUGCCCGGGCCAGCCCUUCUGCUUAGGGACCUGCAGUGACCCUGUGCUGGGUCAUGUUCUUCUUGGCACAAUGAGCACUCCCUGGGCAGGUGGUCCUGGCCCCUGGGAGCUCGGGGAUAGAAACACAGAAGAGGUGUGGUCGGUGCAUCUCUCAGAUGACUCCACUUAGAGUAGUGUCCCCUGCCUCCAGCUUCCACCAGAGUGUGCCUUGGUGGAGACAGUUGCCAGCAUGGAGGGGGCAUGACCAGCCUGGGCCACUGCCAGCCUUGCUCAGCUGACAGCUGCUGCAUGACCUUUGGCAUGGCCUGUGGUCUCCCUAGGCCUCCCCAUCUGUUGAACAAGAAGUGAUCUGGACCAGAGACAAGCUGGCAGCCACGGCUGGGCAGCACCCACAGGCAUGUGCGUCUUAGGGCUGUGCAGUGCUGUUGAAAGUUUGCCGUACACUGCUGGGGGGGAUGGAAGAUGGUUCGGCCACUCUGUAAAACUGUCCUGCAGGUUCUUAAGCUAGACACACCCCUACCAGAGACUCAGCCGUUCCACUCCUAGGAAUUCUUCCCAGAGGGAUGAAAACGCGUUCACACAAGGACUUAUGCAUGACUGUCCAUAGCAGUUUUAUUUGUGAUAGCAAAAACCUGGGGGAAAAACCAAAAUGUCUACCAACAAGUGAUUGGAUGAACAAAUCAUGGUGCAUCCAUACAACGCAGAAAUAAAAAGGAGUGGAAUUUUGAAACACAUGACAAAAUCAAACGUGAAAAUAAUUAUGCUGCGUGAAAGAAGGCGUGUAUACAUGUGACUUCGUUCAUAUGGAAUUCUGCAAAAUGCAGUUGUCUGUAGUGACAUCGGUGGUUCCUGGGGACAGGGGUGGGAGGACACAGGCAGGAGGACAUGCUGUGGGUGACGAGGUUCACCGUGGACCAUGGGAAGGGUUUCGUGGGUGUGCACAUAGGUCGAAGCUUUCCAAAUCAUCACUUUUACAUGUGCAGUUGAUUGUGUCAAAUAAUCCUCAGUAGAGCUGGUCAAGAUAGUUGAAACUAUAUUCAAAACUGGGAAACUGAACAUAAUGACCCCAAUUGCACAUUUCUGUUGGAAAAUUAGAAGUUCUGGUAACACUAGGCCUGUAUUCAGGUGUGGUGUGGGGAGUGGGGUGUGGCUUCCAAGGGCUGGGCGUGGCUGUGUUGGGUUGGGCGUGGCUGGGCUGGACACGGCUGAGCUGGGCUGGGCGUGGCUAGGCUGGGCUGGGUUGGGUGUGGUUGGUCAUGGCUAUGUUGGGCUGGGUGUGGCUGGGUGUGGUGUGGCGUGGCUGGACUGGGCAUGGCUGCACUCAGCUGUGUUGGGCUGGAUGUGACUGGGCGUGGUGUGGCGUGGCUGGGCUGUGCGUGGCUGCACUCAGCUGUGUUGGGCUUGGCUACUGCCCUCUGCACAGGCCUCACCGCUCCUCACUGUCCACGCGCUCUGUGGUCCAGCAUCAUUUCUGGUCUCGUUGGCUCUGCGGAUUGUGUCCCUUAUGCCUGGCCAGCUGCCUUCAUCAAGGGUGACUGCCUGGUGCCUGCACAAGUUUGAGUUUGAUGGACUUAAAUGAAUUUCACACUUUUAGUCACUGAAACUUUGGCCAACCUCCAUCUUCCUACAGAAGCUCCAAGCAUGAAAAACACAAAUGUGGAGUUACGGUGUCUAAAGCGCUGUCAGCCCUUCCAGCCCUGCACACUCCCUCCUUCUCCUCCCGGGGUGGCCACGAGGCAGCUCUAGGGUUUGCACAUCAGAGUAGUGCUGGGUGUCCUUCCCCUCCCUUGCCCUGGCAGUUCCAGGCCCUGUGCCAGGACCACACACCUCCCACACAGGUCCUCUCAUGGGGCUGGUGCCCCCGAGCACACGAUCCCCUCUCCCUGAUCCCAGGCUCCUCUGUCAUGGGAGGGGUGCGAGUUCUUGGAGGCCGAGAGUGUGGCCUGCCCAGGACCACUGGGAAAAUGCAGGGUGAACUGUGGGUCUGGGUGACUCUCAUGAGCCCCUCCUCCAUCCCCCACAGCCCCUAAAGAGUGGGACGGUCUCAGGACCGCGUCCCGGGGUGAAUCGUGCUCCUGAAAUGGGGACUGUGGUGCACAGUCACAUCAUCCCUUCACACGGCGGCCACCAGGACACCUUCAGGGCACUUCCGGUGGCAGGAAACAUCCCCAGGCCUGACUGCGCCUGAGGACGGUGAUGCCAUGGACCAGGAGCGCUUCCCGGAGCGGGAGCAGGCGCUCGCUGGCUGGAGCUCCCCCACUGUGUCUGACGCCUCAUUCCCUGGAUGUUCAGGGUUCCGGUGCUCAGCAAGAACCUGUCCGGACACGCUGGGGAGCAAUGCCCCCACAGAACAUCGGGGGCCAGCUGGACCAUGGCACGUGCCAGACACUGCACCCCAGCAGCGGUGCAUGCUUCUCCAGGGCACGCAGAGCAGUGACCAAGGCCGACCGCGCUGGGUCCCAGCACAAGUCUCAGUAGAUCUUAAAAGACUCAAGUCGUGCAGAGAACAAAGUAAGAAUAAUCUCAAGAUUUGUUGAGACUUGUGUUCCUUGACUAUCCCAGAAUUAGAAUGAAAGGAGAACCCAAUACAGAACAUCCUGAAACAUUAAGCAACUCAAUUCUAAAUAACUCGUGAGCGACCGGCGUCGUGGCUCACGCCUGUAAUCCCA